rnacentral:rRNA from 1 species
AUGGCGGCGCCGCCCGCCCUCCUCACCGCCGCCCGCCUCGGCCGUGGCCUCGGCCUCCUAGCCUCCGUACGCUACUACGGCGCUAUCCCUGUUCCAUUUUCCGUCUCCUCCCCACGGCGCCGGCUCCCGGCCCCGCCCCCUCGCCACGUCAGCAGCUCUGUCCGCCGCCUGGCCGCCACGGCCGUCUCUGAGCCCCAGACGGAUUCAGAGUCUGGUACAGCGACAGUAAGGAAGGGGCGCAUCUACCAUGAAACGUACGGGUGCCAGAUGAAUGUAAACGAUAUGGAGAUUGUGCUGUCUAUCAUGAAAAAAGAAGGGUACAAUGACAUUGUUCCUGACCCUGAGAGUGCAGAGAUAAUAUUUAUCAACACCUGUGCGAUUCGUGACAAUGCAGAGCAGAAAGUUUGGCAGCGGCUCAACUACUUUUGGUUCCUGAAAAGGCAAUGGAAAGCUAAUGUUGCUGGAGGUAGAUCGAAGUCUCUGCGUCCUCCUAAGAUUGCUGUUCUCGGGUGCAUGGCAGAGCGACUGAAGGAGAAAAUACUCGACUCUGAUAAGAUGGUUGAUGUUGUAUGUGGUCCGGAUGCGUACAGGGACUUGCCUAGGUUGCUGCAGGAAGUCGAUUAUGGGCAGAAGGGUAUCAACACACUCCUCUCACUGGAGGAGACUUAUGCUGACAUCACCCCAGUUAGGAUUUCCGACAAUUCGGUUACGGCGUUCGUGUCAAUUAUGAGGGGUUGUAACAAUAUGUGCUCGUUUUGCAUUGUUCCCUUCACUAGAGGCAGGGAGAGGUCACGCCCAGUAUCUUCUGUUGUCCGAGAAGUUGGUGAGCUAUGGGAUGCUGGCGUAAAAGAAGUAAUGCUUCUUGGUCAGAAUGUAAACAGUUAUAAUGAUACUUCUGAAGUUGAGGAGUUGGAGCCUGGUAAAAACUGGCAGCUCAGCGAAGGAUUUUCCAGCAGGUGCAAAGUGAAGAAUAUGGGGUUGCGUUUUGCCGAUCUCCUGGAUCAGUUGUCUCUGGAAUACCCUGAGAUGCGAUUCAGGUUUACCUCUCCACAUCCAAAGGAUUUUCCUGAUGAGCUGCUAUAUUUGAUGCGGGAUAGGUACAACAUUUGCAAACUUAUUCACUUGCCUGCACAAUCAGGCAGCACAGAGGUGCUGGAACGAAUGAAGCGGGGUUAUACUCGAGAAGCAUAUUUGGAGCUUGUGCAGAAAAUCCGUAAUGUCAUUCCAGAUGUUGGGCUAAGCAGUGAUUUCAUAAGUGGCUUUUGUGGAGAGACAGAAGAUGACCAUGCCGACACUCUUAGCCUUGUAAGGGAUGUUGGAUAUGAUAUGGCUUACAUGUUUGCAUAUAGCAUGAGAGAGAAGACCCAUGCUCAUCGGAAUUAUGAGGAUGAUGUCCCCAAUGAUGUUAAGCAGAGGAGACUUGCAGAACUGAUCAACACCUUCCGUGAGACCACAAGAAAGAUCUACGAUUCUCAGGUUGGUACCACACAAGUAGUUCUAGUCGAGGGACCCAAUAAGCGAGCUCCUGAAACAGAGCUGUUUGGGAAAACUGACCGGGGGCACAGGGUUUCGUUUACUAGUCUCCCUGUACCACAUACAUCUGAAGGUGACGGAGCUCGUAAGCCAGUGUUUGGUGACUUUGUUGAGGUAAAAAUUCUCAGGUCGUCGACAGCAUCGUUAUCUGGAGAGCCAAUUGCACGCACAAGCUUGGGCAUGUACUGCAAGAAUCAUGCAUCUGACGCACAUGUUGUUGGUGCAUAA